AUUACGGUGAUGAGUGCAUAGUUCAUCUGAUAACUUUGACGACGAAGCAAUCCAAUUAUAGUCUUUCGCUCCUAUCUGAGCCGAUUA
rnacentral:snoRNA from 1 species